rnacentral:rRNA from 1 species
AGCGAACGCUGGCGGCAGGCCUAACACAUGCAAGUCGAACGAACUCUUCGGAGUUAGUGGCGGACGGGUGAGUAACACGUGGGAACGUGCCUUUAGGUUCGGAAUAACUCAGGGAAACUUGUGCUAAUACCGAAUGUGCCCUUCGGGGGAAAGAUUUAUCGCCUUUAGAGCGGCCCGCGUCUGAUUAGCUAGUUGGUGAGGUAAAGGCUCACCAAGGCGACGAUCAGUAGCUGGUCUGAGAGGAUGAUCAGCCACAUUGGGACUGAGACACGGCCCAAACUCCUACGGGAGGCAGCAGUGGGGAAUCUAGCGCAAUGGGCGAAAGCCUGACGCAGCCAUGCCGCGUGAAUGAUGAAGGUCUUAGGAUUGUAAAAUUCUUUCACCGGGGACGAUAAUGACGGUACCCGGAGAAGAAGCCCCGGCUAACUUCGUG